rnacentral:rRNA from 1 species
CGCGGCCUAUCAGCUUGUUGGUGGGGUAACGGCCUACCAAGGCGACGACGGGUAGCCGGCCUGAGAGGGCGACCGGCCACACUGGGACUGAGACACGGCCCAGACUCCUACGGGAGGCAGCAGUGGGGAAUAUUGCGCAAUGGGCGAAAGCCUGACGCAGCGACGCCGCGUGAGGGAUGAAGGCCUUCGGGUUGUAAACCUCUUUCAGCAGGGAAGAAGCGCAAGUGACGGUACCUGCAGAAGAAGCACCGGCUAACUACGUGCCAGCAGCCGCGGUAAUACGUAGGGUGCAAGCGUUGUCCGGAAUUAUUGGGCGUAAAGAGCUCGUAGGCGGUCUGUCGCGUCUGCUGUGAAAACCCAGGGCUUAACCCUGGGCCUGCAGUGGGUACGGGCAGACUAGAGUGCGGUAGGGGAGAUCGGAAUUCCUGGUGUAGCGGUGAAAUGCGCAGAUAUCAGGAGGAACACCGGUGGCGAAGGCGGAUCUCUGGGCCGUAACUGACGCUGAGGAGCGAAAGCAUGGGGAGCGAACAGGAUUAGAUACCCUGGUAGUCCAUGCCGUAAACGUUGGGCGCUAGGUGUGGGGCUCAUUCCACGAGUUCCGUGCCGCAGCAAACGCAUUAAGCGCCCCGCCUGGGGAGUACGG